GUCCACGCUGUAACGAUGUCAACUGGUUGUUGGGUCUUUACUGACUCAGUAACGAAGCUAACGCGUGAAGUUGACCGCCUGGGAGUACGGCCGCAAGGUUGAAACUCAAAGGAAUUGACGGGACCCGCACAAGCGGUGGAUGAUGUGGUUUAAUUCGAUGCAACGCGAAACCUUACCCACCUUUGACAUGUACGGAAGUCGCUAGAGAUAGCUUCGUGCUCGAAAGAGAGCCGUAAACACAGGUGCUGCAUGGCUGUCGU
rnacentral:rRNA from 1 species